GCACCCCGAGCUCCGUGCCCGCCUGCGUCCGUGUCUUCCGCCAGCGAGAGGUGCCCGGUGCGGGCGGGGAAAAGGCACAGCUCACCGCAACGCAGCAAACGCACCUGUCACCGCUCGCCCUUCACGGAGCUCCAGCGCCGGUCACCGUCAGCGCCCCGCGGCUGCAGGGACGCUGCUCAGCAGCACAACGUGCUCCCGCUGCCCUGCAGGUCCAUCACGCAAAUACACAAAAGGGACAGCAGAGGGAAAAAAGGAAGACAGUGACUGCUUCAACAAGGCUUAGGAUAAAGAAGUGAUGCUCUAUGACUAAUAGAUCAACAUCAUCACUGUCACUUUUUGGUUUAUUUGUUGUUUUGGAAAACUAGCCAUUAGUUUCAUCCAGCAUGAUGGCUUUAUUUUGCACCGCUGUACUCUGAAGUGUUCCUAGGAGUUGUGGCAUUCCUAUAAGACAGCAUGCCACUACCCUAGCUGUGCUUCACCUUGCAGGUCCCAUUCUAGCACAUUACAGGAAAAUACCUAAACCCUCCAAAGUUCAGAAAGUAACUUUCAAGGUGAUCUUUGAAAGGUGCUCUACAGCAUCACAGUGAAACUGGUAACAGAUGUAUGUAAGACACAGAAUAAUUAAGUCUUGUGGCUUAAUACAGGCAGAGGUGAGCAGACUACAUAGAAAUAGAGGGAGAUGCAUGGAAGCCACAAAAACUAUGUACUAGAAGACUGACAUUCAGUGAAACUUGGGCUGAAAUUUGUGAUUUUCUUUCCUCGCUUGCACAUCAAUAUAGCAGAAACACUUUACAUCUAGAGCAGUUACAUCAAUUUUAACCUAUGAAAAGCUUCACAUGUUUUAAGUUCCUAGAGUCAUUUAGGAUCAUAAGGCUGUUUCAAAGAAAGAAGUAUGAUCUCAAUUUUAUUUUUCUUUCUGGUGCCAUCUGAGCACUUGCAAACCCUCUUAAGGAGGCAAUGUGGGCCACAUCCCUCCCUCCCCUCAAGUCUGUUGUGUCCCAGUCUUGAAGCCUGUCUCUGAAGGCUGUAAAACAAAUGGAAUUACAAUUACAUCGCUCCUGAAGAUUCUUUCCAUCAACUAUUUAAAACUACACUCAUCACAUUAAAAACAAAUGAGACUACUUAACAGACAAUUUUAAGAAUAUGGAUCAAGCUGCUUUUUUGUGUAAAAAUAUUUCAAUAACACCACCACAGACAGCAAGAACAAAUGCUGAAUAUCUUUAUGUGUCAAGAUGCGUGCCUUCCAAACAUCACUUUUACAACCCAUAGAAACAUUAGGUUAAGUUCCUCUGGCCACUUGAAAACUUAACCACUGCAAUGCAAGGCAUGAAUGACUUCAAGAUAGCAAAGCUAUUAAACUGUUUUAGCAGUAUAACCAAAUAGAAGACCAAACCUGUGUCCAUAACCUCCUGUGUUUUUCAUAACUUCUUCCUAACUCUAACUGAAGUGACUGCCAUGAAAAAUGUAUCAUUCACUACCAUUACUCCCUACCUCUCAUCAGAGAUGCACCCCUGACUGGCAUUAAAUGCAUGAUUACAAGACAGUAUCUUCAACAAUUCUUCUUGGAAUCACUCACCUUCUGUGGAUUCAGGACUUUAAUGACCUGUGUGAUGGUCCCAGAAUUAAAUGCAGGGAUGACACUGCUGCUGGGAGACAGAAGCUGCAGCUGGAAUGUCUGGAAACAGGGCAAAAAGAAAACAAUUUGAUGUGUAAUCAAGUAAGAAGUGACUUGUUUGCACUGAAAGAAAGCAAGGAAAGUUUGGUUUCUGGCCCUGAAUAAUCACUUCUUGAAUUCCCUAUCAUCUUGUUGUUCCCUAAGAACAACACACUCACUGGCCCAUCUGCUUUCUAUGCAAGUAGGAUCCAGGUAACGCAAAUAAUAGGAGCUGAGGGGUUACUGCAGUGUACCAAGAUCAGCAGCAAUGCAUGCUUCCACGUGUUGCACUCGGAUGAACGGUCAGUACACCUCUAACUUCAGGACUGUUCUUUCCCCGAUUCCUUCCGACAGUACGUGUAAAACCUACUUGAAUCCAAGUUAGAGGAAUACUAGUCCCUAGAAGUGAAUGGACUUUCCCAAAUUUGGAGAGCAUUCCAGUAGCAUGCUGCUUCAAUAGUCUGCUCUGCUAUAAACUAGGCAAUAUCAGUCACUCGCAUUUUGUGCUGCAGCUGAGUGCAAGGGGAAAAAAUUCACUUCCUUAAAUGAGGAAUGCCAUUAAUCGCCAUAUUGUGACUCAUUUAAAUUUUUAUAAGAAACUAAUAGCUUCAAAAGAUUUUUUCUUUCAUGUAUUCAUAGCUACAAAAAACACAGUAUAUUUCUUAGAAAUUAAGAAUAAUGGGUAUGAUUAGUGUCUCCAAAAUACUGAUUUUGACCCAAAUAUUUUUUUUCCUGAGGUUUAGCCAUUUUUCUAGAAAGUAGUGAUUUCAAAACACAAUUUUGUCCAAGCAGAGUGGUCCAAUUUGAUUAGAAUCUGUGUUCUAUUGCAUUUACUACAUGUACUUUCAGACUGGAAAGAGAUGACCUCAUUGUGCACUAAGAGAAACUUGGAAUAGUUCUCAGCCUUGUUUACCUUGCAAGUUUCUAUCUACAUGAAAGCACCAAUUAGGAAGUGUUUGCAACUGGCCCUUCAAUUUCUCACUGUAGCUGCCCUAAGUGGCUCUACCUUUGGUACUGCAGCUUGGAAAACAAAAUCUGUCAUCUCCAGCUCUGUGCUGUUGGAGGCCUGUAUCGUGAUUACAGUGACACUAGGGUUGGUGUUCGACCUCUCAAAGGUGAAGUCAAUCUUCAGCCCAUUCUUGUUGUAGGCAGUAAUGGAGGGGAUUCCUGUAGGAAACAAAAAAGCAGAAGACCUACAGAAUCUGGAGAUCAUUCUCAACAUCAUAGUAUGCACUUACUUGACCCCAGACUCUUCUGAAAAUUAAACACACCCCCAUGUGCUCCAGUAUCUAUGGCACACUUUCAAAUUGCCUCCCUUUAUUUUUUUUUCUACUAUUCCUUGUUUCCUCUUCUAGGUGUUGAGGCACUUCAGGGAAAGGAUUUACAAUGUCCCUAACCUGCAGCAAUAUCAUUGAAGAGAGGCUGAGUUGUAAGUCCAUCGAGCAGGAACGGAGGCUGUGCUAUCUGGGGUGCAGGGGCAGAUACUGGAGAACCUACAAGAAAUGUUGAAGGAUUAAUACUUUGCUGUCAAGAAAUGAAGAGUAAUUACUCCUUUGCCAAAGACUGACUGCUGCAUUUUGUAUUUCUUUACAUGAAGCUCUAUAAAUCACCUGUGUUGUCA